CUCUCUCUCGCUCUCUCUCUCUUACUUCAAGUGCCACCGCUCCGCCUCCUCUUUUCGCAACAUUGACGCAAUGUAUAAAUGCUGGAACAAAAGGACAACUUCCUUGACGCUUGGCGUAAUUGCAAUAAUAGAUACCAAGAAGGGCUUCGGUGACACUUGCUGACGGGAGUCCGGCAUUUUACCGGAAUAUCUUUCCCGCGGCUUCAUUGGCUCGACGUACGCGUUCAAACGGAUUUGCACUUUGCCAGGUUAUUACAGCUCUGAAAACAAGAACCUUAUAGUGGACACACAAGACAAAGUCAAGCUACUGUCGAGAGCGUGCCUGCCUCGCGUGAGUGAGUGCGUGUGCGCGCGUCCUGCGCGGGGCCUGUCGGUACUGUAGCAGCACAGAAUGGUUUGUGAGUUAUAACGGGGGUGCAGGCCGUACUGUGCUGCGGCAACAACGACAGGACAGACGCGCACUUCACAUCAGACGGGUGAGAAAGAGAGAGAGAGGAAGGGCAAUGUAGGCAAAAACAACAGCAUCUAUGUGUGACUGCAAGUCUCGUGAACUUGGCCGUGUGGCUGCCUGGCUGUAGCAGCACGUAAAUAUUGGAGUCAAAGCACUAGCGAAUCCUCCAGUAUUGACCGUGCUGCUGGAGUUAGGCGGGCCGUUUACCGUCCGCAGGGGGUCUCUGUCCUAUGGGAACCUUUACCUCUCCAUAAAAAGUACUAACUAACUACAUAUACUGUGCAAAUGUCAAUGUGUGUGCGUUUGAUGCUUUCAUUUUCUAGCUCGAAACCGAUUAUAUGAUACUUGAUAUAAGAUAUACAGUUAUUAAUCUGCUUUGGCCCAGGUCCCUUUGUAUAAUUUGUUUACAUGUAAGAGUAUAUUUGAUAUUGUUGAUGAUUUGAUGCGCAAAAAAUGUAAUAAGAGGAAAAUAAAAUUAAAACCGUUUAAACCACCG